GCGACGUCCUCCUCUUUCCAACGAGAGUCCCCGCCCAUCUCUCUAUCGCUUUGCCUGACGGUGGCGGCGGCAAUCCGGAUCCGGUGCAGAGCUUGAGGGCUACGCCGACGGGAGGUGCUUGACUACAUCUUGCCGGAGACCAUCGACGUGCACCACGUCGCCGCCUUCUAUGAGGACGUACUCCGCUCCGCGCGCGUCCCUUCUCCCUAUGGUUUCCAGGUCGUCUGUCUCCUCCUAACGGGCACCCCCGCCGCCAUGGGCUACUGCACCCAGGGGGUGCGGGUGCCCCGCCCGCGUAGCUGCCGAGGAUGCACCACACGGCCUUCUUGAAGCCCGCUUCUGUCACAUCUGCAACAAGGAGGAGCCCACCCUGCCAGCAGCCAAGCUGCAAGGGAAGAUGCUAAUAUGAACCUGAAGUCAAACCUGAUGCCAUUUAUUAGCUUGGAGAUCUUUAAUCUCUCAAUGCUUUGGUUACAUUGAUUAGGAAACGUGUUAAUGAUAGUGAAGUUACAGAGACUGUGGUGACAUUGCAUUCCACAUUUGGAGGUGCUGUGUAGUAGGCAGCAAAAUGGGUUGCACUGGACUGUUCCAUGUGAUUAGUUCAUUUUAGGAGUUCAGAACAGGUGGUUAACAAAGGAAUGAUGCACUGGAACUGUUACUUUGUUUACUUGUAGUUUUCUGUGUCUAUGCUAUUGUCCGACUGAGGAUUUCGUCUUUGAUUGGCAUCGUAGUUCAGCGAUGUUCAAAUUUCUUCAUAAUACUUUUUGUACAUCCCUCGUUUGAUGUUGUUUGCUAAAAUCCGUUUGUAGCCAUGGUGUCGGUCAAAUGGUGUUCAAAAUAUAAAUGUCGGAGCUGCUACCUCAUUUGCAGCGAUUGAUUUCCCAGUGCUUCUCAUUGAUGAUUUCAGUACACCGGAAAAGAACCAAUCAUUCUCUAACGAGAUUGAUGAGACGAAGAAUCAGGAGUACAAAUGGAGAGAAGAAGCAUUUAGGAAAGGCUUCCCUUGCUUACCAACCACAUGAAACAAGAUGAGCAAGAAGAACUUGAGCUAGAGGCAAAGGUCAACUGACAUGUUCUCUAUGUACCAUGAAGAUAGUAAAACUGAUGCAAUUUUAGUUGCAAUGGUUCUCGGUCAUGUACUAAAAUGGCCAUCUCAUGUUAUGUAACAUUUGAUAUGCAUGCAAGUGGAUCAGAAGGACCCAGAAAAUGGAUACCUUGCUGAAAUCCAUUUUCACCAUUAUAUUCAGAUGUGGGUGUGUAUUGCCAGAUAAAGUUAAUGUUGGCUUUAAUUUAAUAUGCAUAAUUUUUAC